rnacentral:rRNA from 1 species
UACGUAGGGUGCAAGCGUUGUCCGGAAUUAUUGGGCGUAAAGAGCUCGUAGGCGGUCUGUUGCGUCGGCUGUGAAAACCCGGGGCUCAACCCCGGGCCUGCAGCCGAUACGGGCAGACUAGAGUUCGGCAGGGGAGACUGGAAUUCCUGGUGUAGCGGUGAAAUGCGCAGAUAUCAGGAAGAACACCGAUGGCGAAGGCAGUUCUCUGGGACGGUACUGACGCUGAGACGCGAAAGCGUGGGGAGCGAACAGG